UGACUGAGUGGCGGACGGGUGAGUAACGCGUGGGUAACCUGCCUCAUACAGGGGGAUAGCAGCUGGAAACGGCUGGUAAUACCGCAUAAGACCACAGCACCGCAUGGUGCAGGGGUAAAACCUCCGGUGGUAUGAGAUGGACCCGCGUCUGAUUAGGUAGUUGGUGGGGUAACGGCCUACCAAGCCGACGAUCAGUAGCCGACCUGAGAGGGUGACCGGCCACAUUGGGACUGAGACACGGCCCAAACUCCUACGGGAGGCAGCAGUGGGGAAUAUUGCACAAUGGGGGAAACCCUGAUGCAGCGACGCCGCGUGAGCGAUGAAGUAUUUCGGUAUGUAAAGCUCUAUCAGCAGGGAAGAAAAUGACGGUACCUGACUAAGAAGCACCGGCUAAAUACGUGCCAGCAGCCGCGGUAAUACGUAUGGUGCAAGCGUUAUCCGGAUUUACUGGGUGUAAAGGGAGCGUAGACGGAGUGGCAAGUCUGAUGUGAAAACCCGGGGCUCAACCCCGGGACUGCAUUGGAAACUGUCAAUCUGGAGUACCGGAGAGGUAAGCGGAAUUCCUAGUGUAGCGGUGAAAUGCGUAGAUAUUAGGAGGAACACCAGUGGCGAAGGCGGCUUACUGGACGGUAACUGACGUUGAGGCUCGAAAGCGUGGGGAGCAAACAGGAUUAGAUACCCUGGUAGUCCACGCCGUANACGAUGACUANUAGGUGUCGGGCAGCAAAGCUGUUCGGUGCCGCAGCAAACGCAAUAAGUAGUCCACCUGGGGAGUACGUUCGCAAGAAUGAAACUC
rnacentral:rRNA from 1 species